GAAAAGAAUAAAUAAAAAAAAAAAAUUUUAUAAACACAUCUUGAGUGAAAGUAUGAGGACGUUUCAAAAUUAUUCUAUUCGAAGCAAUGUAUGAAAUUAUAGCGAGUGCAUAUUAAGCGUAAUCCCCCUUUGGUAGAUCUAGCACAACUUAUGGUCGCGCUUUUUCCAAUCCUCAAAGAGCUUCUAAUAUCUAACGCUUUUUGAUGCAACCUUCAGCUCUUCCAGUGAUGCGGUGUUUAUUUCUUUAAAACACUCCCCUUUUCCGUGGAUUUUGGCAGGUAUGGGAACGGGAAAAAGUCGCAGGGAAUCAAGUCCGCUGAAGCUGGUGCAAUAUCCACGAGUGGUUAUUCCACAAUUGCGAGCAUUUUUUCUUAUCGCUUCAGGUGAACGGCACUGAACUUUAGUGUAGUAUUCCUUCUUGGCCGCACGAGCUUUUAGCAGGAUCUCCCGAUCCAUCACGUCAUUGCAAUCGAAGAAACCCGAACGUGAGUAAAAUCUUUACAAUCAAUCGAGCUUGGCGUGCUUUUUUCGGUCUUGGCUCUUCUGGUCGCUUCCAUUAAGAUGAUUGGACUUUAGUUUCGACAUCCUAACCAUAUACUCAUGUUUCGUCGUUUUGAUCGUCAUUAACAUUAUUCAACAGUUUCUGAGCGAUGUUUCACGCAGAAAACAUCCUAAAAAAUUACGUGACUUGAGCUAACUGAUAUGCUAACAUCCUCAGCAACUCCUCUAUAAUGGCGAUUCAACGAUUCGUCAUAUCAAUUUUUUUCACUGCUUCAUCGUUUUCAUCGGUUGUUGCAGUGCAAGAGCGUCCAAAGCGGUCAUCGUCAUUACGGAUUUCCCGGCAUUCUGUGUAGAGCUUGUACUACUUAUAAAAUUUUUUUUUUUUGCUCAAACAAAAAUACACCAAGUAGACCGAAACACGUCUAAUCUUUAUAUUGGUCAUAAACAAACUAAAAAUUCAAAAUGGCUGAUAAUGUCAACAAAUGUUGGGCGACGCGUGUACCAACAUAACCAAAAGAAAAAGAAAUCCAAAAAUCGAACGUACAUGGCCCAUGAAAUCGCCCGGAAAGUCACCUUCUUUUUGAGCGCACAUCGUACUGAGGCAUGGAAUAAUGGUUUGAUUUCGAUGACUAGCUAAGAUAUAUUCGCAUAUUUCGGUGCGAUGAUGUGAAAUGGUACAGAAAAAUUAGAAUAUUACGUUCCAGAAUAACUUUUGAAAACGGUUUGAAACUGUGCUAAAUCACUUACUUAAAAUGGGCGGUGUAGGCAAACUAGAAAAUCAGCAUUUGGAAGGCGUUAUAGUAUUUUCUAUGGAAGUGCUUUUUAAAGGAUUAUGUUACUACAAACAGCACAAUUUUUUUUUUUCUAAAUUUAUAUAAAAAACAUUUGGCUUUGGCUGCAAAAAAAAAGCAAGCAAGCAAGAUAACAUUCCGCUGUGAGUAAAUCUUUCCUACCCCCAUCAUCUUUAUCGUAAAUAGGUUAAAAAAAGAUUAGAAAGAUUCGAUUUUUUCUCGUUUCUACUGGAUAUUGGCAGAAAUUUUUAUCGUAUGUCUAUGAUAGUUGAUGAUUAGUGAGUAAAAAGCUCAGAGAUCAGAGGCUUUCUCUGCUGAUCUUGUGUCCUUUGAUCUAAUUAGUCCGUUGUUAAGGCCCGCAUACCUUGUUUUGCAAAUUUGACGAUGAUAUGUCCAUUACGAGCUAUGCGGAACUUCUGGGAUCUUUUAUGUAGAAACUUGUGAAAAGUUGUUUCGAAAAGGUGAAUCAAGACAUUUUUGAAGGCCUUUUUUGAAGUCUGUUUUUUUUUUUAUACCGUUAAGAAAGUUAAGUAAAGAGCGAAACCAACUUAAUCACGUCGUUAAGAUGUGCAACGACGAGAUCGGGUUCAAUCCUUAAUGCGGUGGAUCACACUAUAAUUGCGACGUAUGUAUGUAAAUUUACCUUCCACUUUGUCUGCCUGAAUGGCCGAAUAGCCAAAGAAUCUUCACUGAUAGCA